UACAGAGGUGGCAAGCGUUGUUCGGAAUUACUGGGCGUAAAGAGCGCGCAGGCGGUCGUUCAAGUCGCGUGUGAAAGCCCCCGGCUCAACUGGGGAGGGUCACGCGAUACUGAUCGACUCGAAGGCAGGAGAGGGUAGUGGAAUUCCCGGUGUAGUGGUGAAAUGCGUAGAUAUCGGGAGGAACACCUGUGGCGAAGGCGGCCCCCUGGUUGGAUACUGACGCUGAUACGCGAAAGCGUGGGGAGCAAACAGG
rnacentral:rRNA from 1 species